rnacentral:rRNA from 1 species
UACGGAGGGUGCGAGCGUUGUCCGGAAUCACUGGGCGUAAAGGGCGCGUAGGCGGCCUGAUAAGUAGGGGGGUGAAAUCCUGCGGCUUAACCGCAGGGCUGCCUUCUAAACUGUCAGGCUAGAGCACAGUAGAGGCAGGUGGAAUUCCCGGUGUAGUGGUGGAAUGCGUAGAGAUCGGGAGGAAUACCGGUGGCGAAGGCGGGUCUCUGGGCCGAUACUGACGCUGAGGAGCGAAAGCGUGGGGAGCAAACAGG